ACAUCUGGUCCAACCUCAGGGAAUAUAUCCAAUAUACAUCUGGUCCAACCUCAGUGAAUAUAUCCAAUAUACAUCUGGUCCAACCUCAGUGAAUAUAAUGAAUCUGUUACCUUCUUCUGUUCCGGGCUCAAACAUGCGGUGGCAUUCCUGUGUCUGUGCAGACACUGCAGGCCUGACUCCAUGUUCAGAUGGGUGAGCACUACAGCCAACGACCUGCUCUAGGGGCUGGGAGGUUUCCAUCUCCUCGUCUUGAGGAAAAACCCCAGUCAUUUGUUCUUCUGCAGAUCCAUCCUCACUUAAUUGUUCUUCUGCAGAUCCAGGCUCAAUUAUUUCUUCUGCAGAUCCAUCCUCAAUUAUUUCUUCUGCAGAUCCAUCCUCAGUCAUUUGUUCUUCCGCAGAUCCAUCCUCACUUAAUUGUUCUUCUGCAGAUCCAGGCUCAAUUAUUUCUUCUGCAGAUCCAUCCUCACUUAAUUGUUCUUCUGCAGAUCCAGGCUCAAUUAUUUCUUCUGCAGAUCCAUCCUCAAUUAUGUCUUCUGCAGAUCCAGGCUCAAUUAUUUCCUCUGCAGAUCCAUCCUCUAUUAUUUCUUCUGCAGAUCCAGGCUCAAUUAUUUCUUCUGCAGAUCCAGGCUCAAUUAUUUCUUCUGCAGAUCCAGGCGCAGCUAUUUCUUCUGCAGAUCCAGGCGCAGUUAUUUCUUCGGACUCUCCCUUCACAGGUUCUAUGUAAUCCAUAUCUGCAGUCUGAGAUGCUGUCCUAGACACAAACUCAUCCUCCUCCUGGGUCUCAGGAACCAUCUCUUCAGGAUGUGUACUGCUCACUUCUCUGAUUCCAGUCCGUUGGUUUAGAUCUUUAAACUCCUCUUCCUGGGUCUCAGGAACCAUCUCUUCAGGAUGUGUACUGCUCACUUCUCUGAUUCCAGUCCGUUGGUUUAGAUCUUUAAACUCCUCUUCCUGGGUCUCAGGAACCAUCUCUUCAGGAUGUGUACUGCUCACUUCUCUGAUUCCAGUCCGUUGGUUUAGAUCUUUAAACUCCUCUUUCUGAGAGGGAUUUGCCUGCAACUCUUUCACAUUGUCGGCUGUUUCUGGUCGGGGGUAGAGCGCAGUGUUGCUCAUUAUUAUAUCAGUGGUGAGGUCGGGAACAGUGACAUCAGACAAGCCAAGAGUGAAUCCUUGCCAGGAGGAAUCUCCUUCCAUUCUGCUUGCUAGUGACUCAGAUGGCUCUGCAGGACACAGAAAGGACCAGAGGUGACGAUGGGAAAUGGGGGAAGGAACAAACACUCAAAAACACUCUCCAAAUGUGAAUGACUGCCUUGAUCAAGAUCGCUCGAAUGCUUGACAUAAUAUCCAUAGCAAACCCUGCAGAUUUAAUAACAUAUGUU
ensembl:lncRNA